CUACAGUGAUGAUAACAUUUUUGUUAACAGCAGUUCACUUACCGAGUAUUGAGACUUCGGGUCUGAGUGA